UUGUACACACACAUUUUCUCUCUCUCUCCUCUCUCUCUCUCUCUCUCUCUCUCUCUCUCUCCCUCUCUCUCUCUCUCUCUCACACACACACACACACACACACACAGAGAGAGAGAGAGAGAGAGAGAGAGAGAGAGAGAGUUUCCACUGAAUUU
rnacentral:miRNA from 1 species